GCAUUUGUAAAUAACAGUGAGACUUUUUUUUAAAUAUUUUUUUUAUUUUGUACUUACUAGACCCACUGCUCGUUGUUGUACCGUCACCAAUAUGGGUUGUGAGAUUGGUGGUUGGGUGUGUACUUAAAGUUGUGGAUGCUGUGGUGGUUGUGGUAGUUGUGGUAGUUGUGGGAGCGUACGUACUGACAUUUGUGGGUGUGGUUGUGAGUUCAGUAGUUGUUUGGGUGGUAUUUGGAAGUGCAGGUGAAAUCUGUGUGGUCGUGAGUUGUAUUGUCAAAGGAGGAGAGGUUGGUUCCCCUGUGGUUGUGAGGUUUGUUGUUAGAGGAGGAGAGUUUGUUGGUUCCUCUGUGGUUGUGAGGUUUGUUGUCAGAGGAGGGGAGGUUAUUGGUUCCUCUGUGGUUGUGAGGUUUGUUGUCAGAGGAGGGGAGGUUAUUGGUUCCUCUGUGGUUGUGAGGUUUGUUGUCAGAGGAGGGGAGGUUAUUGGUUCCUCUGUGGUUGUGAGGUUUGUUGUCAGAGGAGGGGAGGUUAUUG
ensembl:lncRNA